rnacentral:lncRNA from 1 species
CAUAUGUGGAGGUACUAUCAGGCAAGAGCUCUGUGAUGAUAGGGUUUGAGUGAGAUUUUGUUAGAGGUGACCUCACUUUAGGAGGCGUUCUCCUCCCACCAUGUGAGUGUUAGUCGUGGGAGCAUUUGGAUCAGCAGGGGGAGUCGAAGGUCAUCAGGGGGAGUCGAAGGUGAGAAAUUUUGAUCGGGGGUCAUGUGAGAAUAAUUAGGAACAAGUUAGAGAGAAGCGGGACUUUCUUUCUCUUCAUUCCUUUUUAUAAAAAAUUAAUCAAUAUUGCUUGGACAAUUACUACUAGUAGU